rnacentral:rRNA from 1 species
CAGUCGCCGCGGGAAUACAGAGGGUGCGAGCGUUAAUCGGAUUUACUGGGCGUAAAGCGCACGCAGGCGGUCUGACAAGUCAGAUGUGAAAUCCCCGGGCUUAACCUGGGAACUGCAUUUGAAACUGUCAGGCUGGAGUCUUGUAGAGGGGGGUGGAAUUCCAGGUGUAGCGGUGAAAUGCGUAGAGAUCUGGAGGAAUACCGGUGGCGAAGGCGGCCCCCUGGACAAAGACUGACGCUCAGGUGCGAAAGCGUGGGGAGCAAACAGGAUUAGAUACCCCAGUAGUCCCUGUCUCUUAUAC